rnacentral:rRNA from 1 species
AGUGAACGCUGGCGGUAGGCCUAACACAUGCAAGUCGAACGGCAGCACAGUAAGAGCUUGCUCUUACGGGUGGCGAGUGGCGGACGGGUGCGGAAUACAUCGGAAUCUACUUUUUCGUGGGGGAUAACGUAGGGAAACUUACGCUAAUACCGCAUACGACCUACGGGUGAAAGCAGGGGAUCUUCGGACCUUGCGCGAUUGAAUGAGCCGAUGUCGGAUUAGCUAGUUGGCGGGGUAAAGGCCCACCAAGGCGACGAUCCGUAGCUGGUCUGAGAGGAUGAUCAGCCACACUAGAACUGAGACACGGUCCAGACUCCUACGGGAGGCAGCAGUGGGGAAUAUUGGACAAUGGGCGCAAGCCUGAUCCAGCCAUACCGCGUGGGUGAAGAAGGCCUUCGGGUUGUAAAGCCCUUUUGUUGGGAAAGAAAAGCAGCAGGUUAAUACCCCGCUGUUCUGACGGUACCCAAAGAAUAAGCACCGGCUAACUUCGUG